rnacentral:tRNA from 1 species
UAGGAUAUAGCUCAGUGGUGCAGCACAUGCCUGGCAAGCAUGAGGUCCUGAGUUCAAUUCCUGGUACCAAAA